AUGUACAUUCCUACAACAUAGUGUUAAUGCAUCAGAUCUGAUUAGAGCUCUGCAGUUAAGUGUGCUCGGGCUAAAGUAGUAUUGGGAUGGGUGUCUGCUCGGGAAGUCCUAGCAUUUUACAUG
rnacentral:rRNA from 1 species